rnacentral:lncRNA from 1 species
GGGCUUUGUGACUCUGCCAAUCUUCUUUUAGUGAUACACUUUAGAAAUUGCAUGCUAUAUACUAAAUAAGAAUUUAAGCAAAUCUAUAAAUAAAACUUUAUAUGAGAUAUGUGUUGGAGCAUGAUCCUGGCUCCUCCCACGGACCUUGGGUGUAGCGGAACUAGCAACGAACAAAUCUGGAGACUUCUGGACUCGAUCGAAGGCCCUUGAUGAAAUCAGCCUGGUUGCUGUCUUCUUCAUCAGCCUUUCGUUCCAGAUGAAGAACGCCUCUAAGAUCACCUCUAAAAAAUCUAAGAUCUGGUACCCAACUAGAUCAGGCCUGGACCGAGGUCUUUCAAUUUG